GAAGGCACAACAAGAUCACCACGUCUCAGCCCAGCAGGCAGUGGCUUCAGCUGUCUAACACUGACCUCAUCCUACGGAAAUACAGCGCACAGGAGAGACGACAAGAAAAUUCGACCUACGGAAGAAUUACUGGCGACGGGAGGGGAGGAAGAGGCCCCUGUGUCUGCUGCAAUUGCUUUAGUUUCUUUCUAGAUUACAACAACAUGACGGCUGUGCUAACUUUCAACUACAGCCUCAAUGAAUCCUGCCAGGCUGUAUGCUCUAGAACUGUGUAACUUUGAAGAAGUUACAGGUCCCCGGCACGCCUGCCUGGUUCAUGGCCGCAUCACACAAGACCAAGGUUGUAGCCAAGAACAUCUCCAGAAUUGCUCUCAUCUCAGAGGAGGCGACCAAAUACACCGCACAACAAACAACUGUACGAGCUCCGCAAGACAAGCCUGGCUCGGGUGAUCUGCGACAACAGUGACAAGCUACAGUACGUCCAGCCCAAAGUAAUGCUGGAGGCCGACUCUUUCCUUGGCUUGGCAGAGGAGAGAACAGAUCAACCAAGCAACGUCCUUCACUGACGGGUCGGUGAUCUACGGGUCCAGCAAGGAGGAGAGCGACGAGCUGCGUGCCUUCUCUGGCGGCCUCCUCAAGGUGCAGUGCUGCCCGGCAAACACCCAGAUUCUUACGGCCGACACCAACCAAAUUGACUGCAAGACCUCAGGAAGAUUCAAGUGUUUGAAAUCCGGUGAUGUGCGGGUGAAUGAACACAUCGGUCUGGCCGCAAUGCACCAGCCGUUCGUCAGGGAGCACAACCGCAUUGCCGUCUUGCUUUCGGACCUCAAUGCCCACUGGACUGACGAGCAAGUGUUCCAAGCGGUGCGCAGGAUUGUGGGAGCAACUCUGCAGCACAUCACCUACACUGAGUUCCUCCCCUCUAUUCUUGGCCAGGUAUUCUAAUAUAAUAGUUAAAACCAUCAACAGGAUCAGGAAGAGGGAGAUGAAGUGAGGAGAGAGGAGAGGAGGCAGGAGAUAGUGGUCAAGAGCCUCAGGUGUGGGCCGGACACUCAUCCUAACCUCCUCCUUGCCUCCUCCUCACAUCCAUCCCAAUAUCACUGUUCUCUUUCUUCAUAUCUCUUCAUUUCUUCCCUGCAGUCUCCUUUCUAAAACUUUAUUCAUUCAAGAAAAGUUAUAUUAAAUAGGUCUUUGUCUGGAUUGUGUAUGUACACACACACACACACACACACACACACACACACACACACACACACACACACACACACACACACACACACUAGAUAGAAACUGUUUGGUAUUGUAUGCACCCU